UUUGUGCAACUCAUAGGAAAUCCAAUUUCAAUGACAACAAAAUUAGGCGCAGCGGAGUUUGAAGUACAAGGCCCUGAAACAAAUACCCUCAAAAUGAAGC